UCAUCUGCGGUCGGAGUGAGUCGGGUCAUGCGUCGUGCUCUGGCUGACUCCUGCGCCAUGCCCGGUGACCCCGGUCUUGCGGCUGGGUGUGGGUGUUUGCUUUAGCUGCAGCGUAGCCGGUAGUGUUCCCUCACAUCUCGAGAUCCGCAUCCCGUCCUUCUCUCUCCUCCUCCUUUCUCCUCGUCAGCCAUCAAUCCGCCUCCUCGCUGCUCCGUUUACUCCACCGAUUUCUCUCCGGCUGCCGGCCUCCCAGCCCCCCCACCCCACAACGGCAUUUCUUGAGGAGCAGCGCGAGCGAGGCCAACAGGCGGAAGGAGCGGAUCGUGGCCUCGCACGUUGGCUCGUCAUCUGCUUUGGCACCUUUCGGAUCCGCGCUGCUGCGUGCGAUGGUUCUAAAUCAGUGCAGGUCGUCACCGCGGGAUAGUAGGGCCGGCGGAUUCUUCGCAUCGGGGGCUGGCUGGCAGGGGAGGGUCAGGAGGCCGGCAUGACUUGCUAACAAGCAGAGGUCGGCUGCGCUCUCACUUUGACCGCUUUGCUCUCUUUCUCCUCCUCGUUGUGUUGCGCUCUCUCUCUCUCUCUUCGAUUGGAUUGCCUCUCCUUCACCGGUGGUGUGCUCUCGUCGGCUGCAAUGUCGCCCAUACUCUGGAUGGGACUGCUGGUUGAUUAUCUUGCCAUCCUCUCCUGCGUCCACUAUCGCGUCGUUCUGCCUUCGGCGAUUAAUUGAGGAUGGAGCAGCAGGCAUAGAUGAAAUCUACUGCCGAUUUCUAUUGGUUGCGGCAUCUUCCGCUGAGUAACUCUACAAAACAGCCUGCUAGCAUUGAUUCUUGCAAUAAAAAAAUAAGUCUGGCAUCAGUCAUAAAAAGCUUAUAGACUUAGAUAAUUUCUUAAUCCUGCACUGGUUCUCACGAGUGAGAUUGUAGAUGUGGUAUUUUGAGAAUACCAGUGUAAUUCACUGGUCCAAAAGCUCCAUUUCUUAAUGUGUUUUUGCAGAAUGUUACCAGUAAUGUUUUUCUUUUCCUUAAUGUACAAACAUGUCUAUUAGAUAUGAUUUUGGAUCUGAACUUUUCCCUGUCUGCAGCUCACAUUGUGGAAUGGUCAUGGUACAGCAAAAGGAAAAGAUGUUUAAACUUUUUUGGGCGUCAUACAUGAAAAGUACCUUUAUUUCCAUCGAGCUUAAUUACUAAGAAAAUGUUACCACUAUUUCCUUACUAAUAAACCUAAAUGUUCUGAAAGUUUGGUCUCUUGCUCUCUUUGCUUAUGAAUCGGACACUUUCCCUUUCUUUAGUCCUUACACGGUUCCACCUCGCUUUGACUUCAUACUUUGAUGGUGUUUGUAGGUAUGAGGAGUGGUCAUAAUGUUACUUAAAGGAGGCCUCAACUUGCACCAAAUACAUGGGCAUGUGCAACAACAACUUAUGUAGGUCUCUAAAAACUAAUAAAUGCUGCUCUCAAAUCAGUUAGGAGGCUGAAGGUAGUAGCUUACUGAACUCUCAUUUCCGGAAAAAUCUGGAGAUGAUCAACUUGCUCCGACAUAGUUAGUCUUUCUAGACUAAUUGUUUGUCAGUAUCUAUUCUAUACAUGUGUUUGAUUGGUUGUGCAAACAUGCAUGCAUUGUUCUGUGUGGAAAUUGCUUUAUCCGGUCUGUUCUAUAGCAAUGCCUCCAGUGGCUGUUUAGCACAUAUAUUUAGAUAGUUGCAUACGCAUGCUUGGUUCUGCCAGAAAAUUAUCUUCCCUGAUAUGUUUUCAGAUGCUAUUUGGUAUACAUGUUUGUCUUUGUCAUCUUUAUGUUGAGUUGUGGGUUUCAAAGGUAUUUAUGAUGAUCGUUUGCAUGGUGGUUCGUCAGCGAUGUGCGUUGCAUAUUCAUGAUUCAAACUCUUUGUUGGGUAUAUAUCUAUAUGAAGUUGUUUUUGAAUGGCCCAUGAUUCGUUUUUUAUUAGUAUUUUAGUUUAAUCAUUUCUCCAGAGAAUCUUGAUAUCCAGCUAUAUAUAUAUCCAGUCAUGUUUUUUUACUCUGAUUUCUUUUUUGUUUUGUUUUACAGUUUGUACAAUCUCUAAAGAUGGUGCUCCAUUGUUCUGUUAAUCAAGAUUUAUUCCCUCCUUUCUUACUAGCUGAUACGUCAUGACUGUUUGCAUGGGGGGUUAUGUUAACUAUACUCUAUUCAUGAUUCAAACUGUUUGUUGGGUAAUUUAGUUUAGACAUUGUGUCCUGAGAAUCUUGAUAUCUAGCUGUAUCGGUAUAGUAUAGUUUGAGAUUUUUCCCUCUGAAUUUAUAUAUCCACUCAGGUUGGGAUAGGUUAUGAAUAUUCUUAGUGUGCAAACAGCAGCAGUGCUGCACUUUCAUCAGAUGAUGAUAUGCCAACCUUGUGCCAUUUGGCUCUAUGUUACCCGAAUAAGAUAACAAAAUACACAUGCUCAAUUAUAUAUUUUCAAAGA